rnacentral:lncRNA from 1 species
AUGUUUCCCCAGAGAUGGAUUGUCUGGCAUCUUUUACUGGCUGUUCCACUGGCGCUCUGCAGUUUGGACAUUAUACAAAAUAACAGCAAGGGGAACUGCUCUGAGGGUCUCUUGCACUGCACUAUGAAGGAUGGAACUCCAUUUGAGUUUAAUUCAGUCAAUGUCACUGACCUGAGCCCCCAGGUGAAGCUGUGCUGCAGAGGACACACAUGUGCUCUGUGUCUGCUGAUCCGUGUGGAAUUAGCUCUGGAUAAACCUGGAGAGGAGGAGGGCAACUCUGGUAUGACGGAUGAUGAAGAAACUAAAGAUAAUGAAGGUGAAACUGGUUCAGUGACAGUGUGUUAUCGGAACCAGAAGGAAUGCAAAUAUGCAAAAAGAUGGAGUUUACAGUAAACAGGGCCAGGAUACCUGAGCAGAGCGCUGCACAGGUAUGUCAUCAUCAAAAUAUGCAAGUUGUUUGGGUCAUGUUCGGUCACUCCAUAUUAAACAUUAAACAUUUUCACAGAUUUCUAUGAUAAUUACUAAUGCCUCGAUAUCCUAUAAAAGUCGUGUUAUCAUUGACUCACCUAAUGUGGAAAUGACCAAAGCAGUCAAUGUGCCUUCACUUACAGAUGGUAAUUUUCUGAUAUUUAUCAGUAAAUAGUUAUCACUGACAAAUCUGUUAAUACAUGUGUUCAUUUCCCUCAGUAUGCUCUUCAGAAAUAAAUACAUAUGUACAAGAAUGUAAUGGUCAUGGUAAGUUCCUUUUUCCAGUGUUUUUAUAAUUAGCUGCGAACAUUUUAUGAGUGAUUCAGUGUUUUUGAAAAUCCACGCAUGUUGAACCAAAACAGUUAAUGUUAAGAAUUCUGUCCACAAAAUUGCCAUAUUCAUCUUGUAGCCUGAGGUUCUUUUAAUCAUCAAUAAUUGUACCCAUCGUACCCAUCAAAAUUCCAUUUAGUGCAUUUUUCUGACAGAGCAGUCGUUGAACUUUUUGCCACUUGUCUGAAAUAUGACUUAGAAUUCUUCACUUAGACAAGGCUCUUUACAACGUGAUGUGAAUGCAACCUUUUGAGAAAUAAAACUUUUUUUCUUUGUCAGUGCCAAGGUCAACUUUAGCAUUAAUAAAGACAAUCAAGUGGAGCUGCAUUUUCCAGGCAGUGACAGUGGCGUUCCAGACGUGUGUCUUCAGAACGAGAUGGAUGGGAACUGCCAGGUGAGACUUGGCAGUGGCUACUAGGUGGAAUUUACUUUCAGUUUGUUGGUAUGCGGCUGUAAUGGCUGCCUCAUUAUUAAGAUAUUUGUUUUCCUUGUAUAACUGCAUAAACAGAGAUACUGCCGUAAAUUAUGUAUCAGUAUGGAAAAAUGGUGGCCUGUUCCUUUAAGACUAAGCUUUUACUUGGUUUAGUCCAUUAUGUAGCCUACUCAGAGGCGGGUAGUAAUCAGUUACCCAAGUAUAUGUACUUGAGGAACUUUUUGAACAAAAUUUAGUUUUAUCAUAUGAUACUUUUUAUUUCUACUUGAGUGAAAUU